GAUACAAUACCAAAGCAAGAAUAAUCGAAAAACAACUAUACCACCGCAUACUAAUAAGUAAGACAUAACAGAUAACCAAAUUCUUGAAUCUUAAAACAAAUUUCAAUUCAAACAUUUAGUGAAUAUCAAAUUAACUAAUAUCCCGCCCGUAGGGCGGGCCGACCCUAGUGGAAUUAUACUUUUGAAGUGUUUAACUGGAAAAGGAAGCCAGGUGUCUGCGUGUCCAGACAAAUCAGUCUCCGUUUCUUGUGCCCUACGCAUUGUUUCACAUUAUUGUAUUUCGCUUUCUUUUCUUGUCACUUAAAUACUUCAAAUUAAGAAAGGCUUAGGAAAAAGCCCAGCCCAAAUAGGUUCAUUACAAUAAAGAAUUUCUGAGGAUGGAUAUUUUUUUUUUCGCUAACAUUUGGACUGAGGAUGGAAUUUGCUGACGCAUCCGCUUCCUCGUUGAACUUCCUAACCAUAUGAAAAAAAAGAGAUUGAAACAAAUGCAGAUGCUAGAAGGUGGAUAUCCUUAACGAUUCCCAGUAUUUUUUUCUUCAGCGUCUUGUUGUUGAUUGCUCCAAUGAUCGUUAGGUUGUCAGAGUAGAUCCUGAGAUUCAAUAUCUCUUGAAUCCCUGCCAUGCGAAGUCACUCUCUUACCGCUAGAGCUUCAGCUGUCAACGGCGAGGCAACAUGAUCUUGUAUCGACGAUCCUUGCUUGAUUUUUAUUCCCGCUCCAUCCAAUAGGGUCCAAGCUAGGCCGGCUCUGCGACGAUUUGAAUCCCACGCUGCAUCUGUCUUAAGUAUGGGAACUUGAGGAUUAGAUCGAUCUGGUUCACCGGUGUUGACGUUCUUUGAGCUCAGAUAGUGAAGAUUUUCCUUCACAUACAAGUAGAUUGCGGUCCUUCCAUAAAUACCAACAGAUCUAAAGAAAAACGGUGGUUGCUACUCCUGUGGAGAGAAGGCAGAUUGAUGAUCGGAAUCGUAUCACAACUGUAGCGAAACUAUCUGUUGCAGCUGUGUGAAUUGCUUCUUUUAGAGGUGUUUUUUACCAUACUUUUUUAGAGCACCCGCAAUGGGAGUUUUUAAGGAAGAGUCCGUAGAAAAAAAAUAAUUAAAUAAUUAGCAGAUCCCACCAAAACUUAAGGAUUCAAUCCUUAAAAUCCUUAAAUAAAAACUCUUUUUUAGUGA